UACGUAGGUGGCAAGCGUUGUCCGGAUUUACUGGGCGUAAAGGGCGCGUAGGCGGCUUACCAAGUCAGGCGUGAAAUUCCCGGGCUCAACCUGGGGGCUGCGCUUGAUACUGGUGAGCUUGAAUGCGGGAGAGGAUAGUGGAAUUCCCAGUGUAGAGGUGAAAUUCGUAGAUAUUGGGAAGAACACCGGUGGCGAAGGCGGCUAUCUGGCCCGUAAUUGACGCUGAGGCGCGAAAGCGUGGGGAGCAAACAGG
rnacentral:rRNA from 1 species